GACGAACGCUGGCGGCGUGCUUAACACAUGCAAGUCGAACGGAAAGGCCCUGCUUUUGUGGGUUGCUCGAGUGGCGAACGGGUGAGUAACACGUGAGUAACCUGCCCUUGACUUUGGGAUAACUUCAGGAAACUGGGGCUAAUACCGGAUAGGAUCUCCUGCUGCAUGGUGGGGGUUGGAAAGUUUCGGCGGUUGGGGAUGGACUCGCGGCUUAUCAGCUUGUUGGUGGGGUAGUGGCUUACCAAGGCUUUGACGGGUAGCCGGCCUGAGAGGGUGACCGGCCACAUUGGGACUGAGAGACGGCCCAGACUCCUACGGGAGGCAGCAGUGGGGAAUAUUGCACAAUGGGCGGAAGCCUGAUGCAGCAACGCCGCGUGCGGGAUGACGGCCUUCGGGUUGUAAACCGAUUUCGCAGGUGACGAAGAGUGAGUGACGGUAAUGGGUAAAGAAGCACCGGCUAACUACGUG
rnacentral:rRNA from 1 species